rnacentral:rRNA from 1 species
CCCUUAGAUGUUCUGGGCCGCACACGCGCUACACUGAAGGAGGCAGCGUGUACUCCUGGAUCGAAAGAUUUGGGUAACCCGCGAAUCUCCUUCGUGCUAGGGAUUGAGGUUUGCAAUUAUCCUUCAUGAACGAGGAAUUCCCAGUAAGUGCAAGUCAUAAGCUUGCGCUGACUACGUCCCUGCCCUUUGUACACACCGCCCGUCGCUACUACCGAUUGAAUGAUUUAGUGAGGACUUCGGACUGGGACCGAUGCGGCUUUCGGGCUGCGUCGGCAUUCUGGAAAGAUGUCCAAACUGUAUCAUUUAGAGGAAGUAAAANUCGUAACA